rnacentral:rRNA from 1 species
CCUACGGUGGGCAGCAGUGAGGAAUAUUGGUCAAUGGGCGGGAGCCUGAACCAGCCAAGCCGCGUGAGGGAAGAAGGUACAGCGUAUCGUAAACCUCUUUUGUCAGGGAACAAAGGCGGGGACUAGUCCCCGGAUGAGGGUACCUGAAGAAAAAGCAUCGGCUAACUCCGGACCAGCAGCCGCUGUAAUACGGAGGAUGCGAACGUUAUCCAGAUUUAUUGGGUUAAAAGGGUGAGCAGGCGGCCUGUUAAGUAAGCGGUAAAAGCCCGGGGCUCAACCCCGGCGAGCCGUUGAAACUGGCGGGCUGGAGUUGGAGAGAAGUACGCGGAAUGCGCGGUGUAGCGGUGAAAGGCUUAGAUAUCGCGCAGAACCCCGAUUGCGAAGGCAGCGUACCGGCUCCACACUGACGCUGAGGCACGAAAGCGGGGGUAUCGAACAGGAUUAGAUACCCGGGUAGUC